rnacentral:rRNA from 1 species
GAUGAACGCUGGCGGCGUGCCUAAUACAUGCAAGUCGAGCGAAUGGAUUAAGAGCUUGCUCUUAUGAAGUUAGCGGCGGACGGGUGAGUAACACGUGGGUAACCUGCCCAUAAGACUGGGAUAACUCCGGGAAACCGGGGCUAAUACCGGAUAACAUUUUGAACCGCAUGGUUCGAAAUUGAAAGGCGGCUUCGGCUGUCACUUAUGGAUGGACCCGCGUCGCAUUAGCUAGUUGGUGAGGUAACGGCUCACCAAGGCAACGAUGCGUAGCCGACCUGAGAGGGUGAUCGGCCACACUGGGACUGAGACACGGCCCAGACUCCUGCGGGAGGCAGCAGUAGGGAAUGUUCCGCAAUGGACGAAAGUCUGACGGAGCAACGCCGCGUGAGUGAUGAAGGCUUUCGGGUCGUAAAACUCUGUUGUUAGGGAAGAACAAGUGCUAGUUGAAUAAGCUGGCACCUUGACGGUACCUAACCAGAAAGCCACGGCUAACUACGUGCCAGCCGCCGCGGUAA